ACGCUCGACACCUACGGGGGCAGCAGUGGGGGAUAUUGCACAAUGGGGGGAAACCCUGAUGCAGCAACGCCGCGUGAGGGAAGAAGGUUUUCGGAUUGUAAACCUCUGUCCUUGGUGACGAUAAUGACGGUAGCCAAGGAGGAAGCUCCGGCUAACUACGUGCAGCAGCCGCGGUAAUCUGAGCGGGCUGGCAAGGC
rnacentral:rRNA from 1 species